rnacentral:rRNA from 1 species
GACGAACGCUGGCGGCGUGCCUAAUACAUGCAAGUCGAGCGGACUUUCAAGAAGCUUGCUUUUUGAAAGUUAGCGGCGGACGGGUGAGUAACACGUGGGCAACCUGCCUGCAAGACGGGGAUAACUCCGGGAAACCGGGGCUAAUACCGGAUAAUAUCUUCCUUCGCAUGAAGGAAGGUUGAAAGGCGGCGCAAGCUGCCGCUUGCAGAUGGGCCCGCGGCGCAUUAGCUAGUUGGUGAGGUAACGGCUCACCAAGGCGACGAUGUGUAGCCGACCUGAGAGGGUGAUCGGCCACACUGGGACUGAGACACGGCCCAGACUCCUACGGGAGGCAGCAGUAGGGAAUCUUCCGCAAUGGACGAAAGUCUGACGGAGCAACGCCGCGUGAGCGAAGAAGGUCUUCGGAUCGUAAAGCUCUGUUGUCAGGGAAGAACAAGUACCGUUCGAACAGGGCGGUACCUUGACGGUACCUGACCAGAAAGCCACGGCUAACUACGUG